CGAGUUUUAAAUAUUUGUAUUAUUUAUAUGUACAUAAACUAGUCAAAAUAUGCCCCUUUAAUUUAAAGUUGUUUUUCCACUUCAACUGCAUAUCAUGCUCAAACGUAGCAUCGACUCUGUUAACUGAGGCCGGUCGCAGUAUAAAAAAGUACUUAAUGUGUGUGCGAAUGUUAGCCAAUCACACUGCAUAGUUCAGAGUUAAAUCCUAAUUUUUAAAUAUUGGUUGAGGCAGUAAGCUGGAACCGUUGAAUUAAUGAGAUUCUGUAAAUAGGUUUGUGCCUGCUAGUUCUUCCGAAAUAUGACCAAAACGGCUUUGUUUUCGCCAAGACGAGAUUUUUUGGCAUGUUAUGUAAUUAUAUUUUCAACGCUUUUCAUCACAAAUUUCGACAGAAAACAAAUGCUACGGUAUGGCUGGUUGUGGUACGUUUGAAGUGGAAACUAUAAAGCCAGGUUUCCACUUCAAUCGUAUCGUACCGAAGCGUAUUUCUUUGGUUAACGACGUCCACACAAAAGAAAAUGCUACGUUACGUUACGAUUGAAGUGGAAACUAAAGCCGGUUUUCCACUUCGCCCGUAUUGUAGCGAAACAUAUUGGUGAGCAUGCGCAGAUUGAAAAGAGGUUUAUAAAUCCACUUACUUCCGGGCGUAUUCGCGUAUCAAAAUAAAAAGCUCGUCGCAAGUCAACUUUUUGGCGUACUACGAAGUACUACCAAUCAACAGUCAUGAAAUUUUGAAAUUUAAAAACGUUUUUGAUACUUUUCGGUACGCUUGAAGUGGAAAAUCGGCUUAAGUUUCUCUUUGGCUUUAGUCUUAAGCCUGAUUCACAUAUGCCUGCGACUAUAUCAUUAUGCCUCUACUUGCCGCCGAAAUACCGGCAAAGUUGAACUCAACUCAACUUUCCCGGCCUACCGCCGAUGUAACUGUGGCACUGGAGGCAAUCGGCGAAACAGUCCACAUGGCCUUUUGCUGCUUUUCAGUUAUGAAAGACUCAUUUUUUAUUGUUUUGCUAAAAAGUACUGCUAGAGCGAUGAAGAAUGACG